GACGAACGCUGGCGGCGUGCCUAAUACAUGCAAGUCGAACGCAGUGGGGACGGGGGAGUAACACGUGGGUAACCUCCCAUCAGAGGGGAUAAAACUUGGAAACAGGUGCUAAACCGAUACGGGUGGAUGGACCCGCGGUGCAUUAGCUAGUUGGUGAGGUAACGGCUCACCAAGGCCACGAUGCAUAGCCGACCUGAGAGGAUGAUCGGCCACACUGGGACUGAGACACGGCCCAGACUCCUACGUGAGGCAGCAGUAGGGAAUCUUCGACAAUGGACGAAAGUCUGACCGAGCAAUGCCGCGUGAGUGAAGAAGGUUUUCGGGUCGUAAAGCUCUGUUGUUAGAGAAGCGGUAUCUAACCAGAAAGCCACGGCUAACUACGUGCCAGCAGCCGCGGUAAUAC
rnacentral:rRNA from 1 species